UGUAAAAAAAUUACACAGAUUGUAGAACAUGUUCUAGCUGUCAAAACUGUGUAGUUUUAUAACACAGAUCUGUGUAAAAAGUUACACAGAUUUCCGAUCAGCUUUCCUUUCAAAUCUGGGUAAAAAAGGAAAAGCUAAGAUGGCGUCGCUCUUGCAGCAAACUUUUACUUAUCAACAAACUGAUCAUCAUAUGCACCGUAAACCCAUGGGGAGCAGUGCUCGUAUUUGAAUUCAAGUUGUCUCACACACACUGAAUUCCUCCGACGUGGUGCGUUUGCGGAACCUCGGAAGUCCAGAGCCCCGGAACUCGAGCCCGCGCUAACCAU